AAUCUCAAUGUUUCCCUUGGGAAACAUUGAGAUUCUCGAAUCUCAAUGUUUCCCUUGGGAAAAUAAUUCCCGAGAAUCUCAAUGUUUCCCUUGGGAAACAUUGAGAU